rnacentral:rRNA from 1 species
AUUGAACGCUGGCGGCAUGCCUUACGCAUGCAAGUCGAACGGUAACAGGUCUUCGGAUGCUGACGAGUGGCGAACGGGUGAGUAAUACAUCGGAACGUGCCUAGUAGUGGGGGAUAACUACUCGAAAGAGUGGCUAAUACCGCAUGAGAUCUACGGAUGAAAGCAGGGGAUCGCAAGACCUUGUGCUACUAGAGCGGCCGAUGGCAGAUUAGGUAGUUGGUGGGAUAAAAGCUUACCAAGCCGACGAUCUGUAGCUGGUCUGAGCGGACGAUCAGCCACCAUGAGACUGAGACACGGCCCAGACUCCUACGGGAGGCAGCAGUGGGGAAAUUUGGACAAUGGGCGCAAGCCUGAUCCAGCAAUGCCGCGUGCAGGAUGAAGGCCUUCGGGUUGUAAACUGCUUUUGUACGGAACGAAAAGCCCUGGGUUAAUACCCUGGGGUCAUGACGGUACCGUAAGAAUAAGCACCGGCUAACUACGUGCCAGCCGCCGCAGUAA